rnacentral:rRNA from 1 species
AAGAUUGUACAAUGGUCGGAAGCCUGAUCCCGCCACGCCGCGUGUUUGAAGAAGGUCUUCGGUUUAUAAAGCACCUUAAUUUGGGAGGAAGGGCAGUAAGUUAAUACCUUGAUGUUUUGCCGUUACCGACAGUAUAAGCACCGGCGAACUUCCUGCCUGCAGCCGCGGUAAUACGAAGGGUGCAAGCGUUAAUCGGAAUUACUGGGCGUAAAGCGCGCGUAGGUGGUUCGUUAAGUUGGAUGUGAAAGCCCCGGGCUCAACCUGGGAACUGCAUCCAAAACUGGCGAGCUAGAGUACGGUAGAGGGUGGUGGAAUUUCCUGUGUAGCGGUGAAAUGCGUAGAUAUAGGAAGGAAAACCAGUGGCGAAGGCGACCACCUGGACUGAUACUGACACUGAGGUGCGAAAGCGUGGGGAGCAAACAGG